rnacentral:rRNA from 1 species
GACGAACGCUGGCGGCGUGCUUAACACAUGCAAGUCGAACGGAAAGGCCCUGCUUUUGUGGGGUGCUCGAGUGGCGAACGGGUGAGUAACACGUGAGUAACCUGCCCUUGACUUUGGGAUAACUUCAGGAAACUGUGGCUACUACCGGAUAGGAGCUCCUGCUGCAUGGUGGGGGUUGGAUAGUUUGGGGGGUUGGGGAUGAACUCGCGGCUUAUAAGCUUGUUGGUGGGGGAGUGGCUUACCAAGGCUUGGACGGGAGGCCGGCCGGAGGGGGGGACCGGCAAAAUUGGGACUGAGAUAGGGCCAGGACCCCUACGGGAGGCAGAAGUGGGGAAAAUUGAAAAUGGGGCGGAGGCCUGAUGCGGAAACGCCGGGGGCGGGAGAACGGCCUUGGGGUUGAAAACCGCUUUAGCCGGUGACGAAGCGUGAGUGACGGUAAUGGGUGAAGAAGCACCGGCUAACUACGUG